rnacentral:lncRNA from 1 species
UCAUGAAGAAUGGAAUUCAGAGGUACAUGGAUCACAUAGUCUAAUGAUAAAACUUUGGAGUCGUAUCAGGCUUUAUAAUUUACGGAGCACUUUCCCAUCUAUCACCUUACUUUAUUCUCACAACAAUCUAUCAAGGAAGGCAGUAUGGCUGUUUUUAUUUCUGUUUCACAGAAGAGGAAAUGGAAGCUCGGAGAGGUUAAAUGGCUUGCCCAAGGUCGUCCAGAUAUAAGGCGGGGGUGUAACAUUCCCUUGCAUCUCCAGGUUCCUGGGCUCUGACACACCCCGCCCCCAUCCCAUGACACCAAGCUGCUUCCUGCAGUGGCAUUGUUAGGGGCAACAAGAAUGGACUUCUAGCAAGGCUGCUUCCACAAAGCUGGCAAAGAAUCAGAGAUCGGGUGCUGGAGAAUUCAGGGCAAGAGCCGAGGAGUCCCUGGUCCCUCUGCUGCCAACUGCCCACCUCCCCAAGGCACCAAGGCACGCCAUCAUCUGGAUGAUUGCUUGAUUGGCACUGCUUGCUGAAACGGCUAUUUGAGAGAUGUGAAAAAGAUGGAGAGUAGAGAGGAAGCCUGUGAAAAUACCUCCACAAUUGCAGGUUUUCAGUUCUUCCUGAGAUCAAUAAAGCUUAAAAGAAAAGAAAAAGCCAACUCAGCUUGUGUGUGGCUUCUGGAUCUUGACUAAUGCAGACCCCUUUCCUGGAGUGGAAGCCAUGCUUGACAGCUCAGCUUUCUCGUCACUAAUGAGUUGGGACGUGAUUGUGCAUUCAAAAUCUAGUAAGGACUAACCCCGUGCACUUGGAUCCACACUGCUGAU